rnacentral:sRNA from 1 species
ACGCUGGCCGCGUGCCUCAGACAUGCAAGUCGAACGCGAAAGUCCCCUUCGGGGGACGAGUAGAGUGGCGUCCGGGUGAGUAACACGUAGGUAAUCUACCUUCGGGUGGGGAAUAACGCAGGGAAACUUGCGCUAAUACCGCAUAAUGCAGCGGCACCACAUGGUGACAGUUGUUAAAGCGGGGGAUUUUCGGACCUCGCGCCUGAAGAGGAGUCUGCGGCAGAUUAGCUAGUUGGUAGGGUAACGGCUUACCAAGGCGACGAUCUGUAGCCGGCCUGAGAGGGCGGUCGGCCACACUGACACUGACAUACGGGUCAGACUCCUACGGGAGGCAGCAGUGGG